rnacentral:rRNA from 1 species
GAUGAACGCUAGCGGCAGGCCUAAUACAUGCAAGUCGGACGGGAUUCGGAGCUUGCUUCUGAUGAGAGUGGCGCACGGGUGCGUAACACGUAUGUAACCUACCUUUAUCAGGGGGAUAGCCUCUCGAAAGAGAGAUUAAGCCCGCAUAAAAUCACAGCACAGCAUUGUGUAAUGAUCAAAUAUUUAUAGGAUAAAGAUGGGCAUGCGGAACAUUAGCUAGAUGGCGGGGUAACGGCCCACCAUGGCGACGAUGUUUAGGGGAUCUGAGAGGAUGGCCCCCCACACUGGUACUGGGACACGGACCAGACUCCUACGGGAGGCAGCAGUAAGGAAUAUUGGUCAAUGGGCGGAAGCCUGAACCAGCCAUGCCGCGUGCAGGAAGACGGCCCUACGGGUUGUAAACUGCUUUUAUACGGGAAUAAACCCAGAUACGUGUAUCUGGCUGAAUGUACUGUAAGAAUAAGGAUCGGCUAACUCCGUG